GCACUAGCGCGGUGGUCCCACCUGACCCCAUGCCGAACUCAGAAGUGAAACGCCGUAGCGCCGAUGGUAGUGUGGGGUCUCCCCAUGUGAGAGUAGGGAACUGCCAGGC
rnacentral:rRNA from 6 species